rnacentral:rRNA from 2 species
CCCGAGAUGAGUUCUCCCUGAGACUUUAAGUCUCCUGAAGGAACGUUGAAGACGACGACGUUGAUAGGCCGGGUGUGUAAGCGCAGCGAUGCGUUGAGCUAACCGGUACUAAUGAACCGUGAGGCUUAACCUUACAACGCCGAAG